UGGGAGGGCUGAAAUAAAUGGAGGCAGUUCUUCAUAUAGCUCUAUCUACUUUGUACCCACAUCUGAGAGUACAAGUAGAGCUUCUUUGCUGAAGUGGAGGAAUUUUGGAGAAGCUUCAGUGACUAAUUAUUUUGCAGUGCUGCUAUGGCAGCAGGUUCCUGAUACUCUGUUCUUGGAGCUGGCACUGACUGGAAGUGGCUAUCCUCUUCAGUACUUCUCUUGCGAGUGGGCCAGUUAUGACCAUAUAUGGUAUGCGACCAGGUUCUAAGCAAACUGAAGAUAGCUAGUUCAGGCUGCAGUAUUACCCUGGAAAAAGCAAUGAGAGAAAAAGCAGCCAACGCUGAAUUGUAAAUACCUUCCAGCAUGCUAGUAGAUAUUUUUAUUCCUCUACCUAUUAAUCUCUUGUUUGAAAUAGACAUUCUCUUAUAAGAAGAUAACAACAUGUUGAGUCCAGUAGAGCUUAAUUUUGCAUAAUGUGAUGUUUUGAUUUCACAUCUUGGCCCAGAUUCCAACAGAUUCAGAGAAAGGUAACUUUGAGAAUAGAAGAACCAUGAAUCCAGAGGGGCAACAGGGUAAUGGAAUGUUUUGAAGCCCUACACAAAAGAACAGCCAAUAUGAUUUAUCUACAGUUCCAGCCUGCAUAUCAGAAUUGCAGGGUGGUCUGGCAGCUUAUUUUUUAGCUGACAGUUAGGAAGAGCAGUUCCAGUAGUGCUGUUUCGAUAUUAUUAAUCUGGAGCACUUAUCCCCUGGUUACCAGUUUGAAAUUUAGCAUAUAAGGGCCUGCGAAUGCAGCAGAUAUCAACACAUUCUGCCUCCAAUGAACCUUUUUCUUCCAAAGAAUAGGAUUUCAUCAUACAGACAUAGGCACCUGGAUGAACCAUAAUGAUGUCAUGUGUGUUAUGACGACAUGACAUAAAUGGUAAAGAUUAGGUAAAUUCAUAUCAGUCACAUGAUAUAAUUCAUAUCAUUGCAUGAUGACAUCAUGGUGCAGGUAACCUCAUUUGUCCCCUGAUUUCCUCAUGAUAGCAGAGAAUGUCAGAAAACUUUGAAAAUGU